CUUUCUCCCACUGUCCCCGUCCUGCUUCUCUCUUUGUUGACCCGGCUACUCCCAGACUUCAAAGGCCACAGAGCACCCAGUUUGCAUGCCCACAGUCUCAGCCCGGCCAGCCCAAGCCCCAGGUCCCUUCUGAUGAUUCCUCGGUCAGUCCAGCUGAGCCCCAGGAGUGCUGCGUGGGAGGCCACAUCUCCUACAGGAGGCCUGGGCUGAGCUGCCGUAAGAUGCCGAGUCUCCCUCCGGCAGCUUCUGUUGGGUCUGUGUCCACUCUGGACAGGCCUCCAGCCUCCUGGGGCUAGAAAACCAGUCACUCUCCUGGGAUCAAGAACGUGUCCUCAGAUGUCCCAACCUACCCCUGAGAGUGCUUCUUGGGCCCGAGCCAGGGCACAAGCUACUUCUGACCUCUGGCUUGGUGACGUGGGAACCCUGAACUUCUCCUACAGGCCUUGGGGCAGGGUCCAAGGGCAGCACCCAGGGAUGUCACCCCCAGACCCCACCAGAUGCCCCAAGUCAUCUGCAUCCCUCCAUGCAUUAUUUCUGCCACCACCCCUCGCUGGUGGCAGCACACGCCCCAC
rnacentral:lncRNA from 1 species